rnacentral:tRNA from 1 species
GGUUCCUUGGUGUAAUGUUUAGCACGCUGGACUUUGAAUCCAGUGAUCCGAGUUCAAAUCUCGGUGGAACCU